ensembl:lncRNA
UUUUUUUUUUUUUUUCCCAAAAAGAGUCAGGACACAGCAAUGACAUGACGAGCAAAGGAAAACCUACAGUUUUGCCCACGUUCUCGUUCUCUUUCUCUGGCUAGGGUCAGGGAGGGGGACUGCGUGAGACAAGCAACAAGUCUGCAAGAGAAACUCUUAUCUGUGUGGCAUCCACAGCAGUUUAGGUAACAGUUCAAGUGAGAAGGGAAGUGUGGCUCUUCAAGCAGCGAAAUGUUAUCUUUCAACAGCAAGAGUAAGAAAACCUGACUCGCCAGCUAGACCGAAAGGCAGGUUUGACAUGGGAAAUCCCCAUUUGCCUGGUGACUUGAGGUGACAUGUUUCAGUGUGUUUGGUUCUGGAGCCUGGUCCACCAAUGAGCACCUUUGCUCCAUCCACCACCCCUGGAGGUGAUGCUGGGCCCAUGGCACGUCUCUGAAAGCAGGCCCCAGGGUUCCAGGAGGAGUUCGCUCGUGCAAAAACAAAGUCAAGAUUCUGGUGAACUGAGCCGUGUAACCGAGUAAUAGAGAACCAUCGGAAGGGCUGUGUUCAUUCUUUUCAAUGUAUCCUUACAAUGGCCCCAUCUUCUACAUAUAGAGCACAACAGGGUCAUCCAGGCACUUAUAAGAUCCACCUUGGAGUUCAUAUUUGUGCCAAGGCCGGAAGCUGUCAAUACAAAACAGGGAAUCUCUAAGGUAAAGAGCUGUGUCUCAGUCGACACCACUCUUGGGAGUACCCGAUCUACCUACCUGGCAACAUCUGAAGAAUGGCGUCCAAUUUUUCCUUAGACUGCCCCCCUCCUAUGACAUAUUACAGGUGGUUCUACCAAGACCAUCAUCUGAGCACCCCAUUCAUUACCACCUACGUCAAGAAGUAAGUGCACCCCCCAAGAGAGGCCUCACAACUCUCUUUAUUAGUAACGCUCAUGUGUAGUGGAAUCACCGGAAACAAAGAUGCUCAGAGAUGAGGCAUUCAAAAGCUAGUGCUCCAGGGACACCUCCAAGUCUCCUGGGUAUCUUCCACCCUUUAUUUCACUUGAUGAAUUUUUGUUUUGUUUUGUUUUUGUUUUUGUUUUUUCUAGGCCGCUCCCAUGGCAUAUGGAGGUUCCCAGGCUCGGGGUGGAAUCGGAGCUGUAGCCGCCGGCCUACACCACCGCCACAGCCACGUGGGAUCCGAGCUGCAUCUACAACCUACACCACAGCUCACGGCAAUGCUGGAUCCUCAACCCACUGAGCAAGGCCAGGGAUCGAACCCACACCCUCAUGGUUCCUAGUCGGAUUCGUGAACCACUGAGCCACGAUGGGAACUCCUCACUUGGCAAAUAUUAAUGGAGAGCCAUCUGCUCCAUGCAAUUUUCUUGGUGAAGCAGGCAAUGCAGAGGCAGACACAUUUCAGAGAGAAGAAAAGAGUAAAUAAAUCAGUCAAAUGUAUAUUAGAUGGAGAUACGUGCUGAAAAUUAAGCAAUGCUAGUAGGGAGGGAGCAAAGGGGCCAGUGUUUCCCAUGCUAGAAGGAGACCUCAUUAGAGGGAAGAGAGGAGGGAAAGAGGGCAGAGUGGGUCUCAGGACCACAGGACUGAAGGAAUCGGUCGGGGGCGGGGGCACAGAGAGCAAGACUGAAAAGGAGCAGUGGAAGAAGGAAGGAAAAGCAGCCUGGGGAGAGAUGCCCCAGAAGCCCGUGAAGAAUGCAUUUCAGGAGUUCCCGUCGUGGCUCAGUGGUUAACGAAUCAGACUAGGAACCAUGAAGUUGCGGGUUUGAUCCCUGGCCUCGAUCGGUGGGUUAAGGAUCUGGUGUUGCUGUGAGCGGUGGUGUAGGUCGCAGACGCAGCUCGGAUCUGGCGUUGCUGUGAUUGUGGUGUAGCCUGGCAGCUACAGCUCCAAUUAGACCCCCUAGCCAGGGAACCUCCCUGUGCCACGGGUGCGGCCCUGGAAAAAGAAAAAAAAAAAAAAAGAAUGCAUUUCAAGAAGGAUGAGUGAACCACUGGGCUAAAUCCUUCAGAAGCAGCAGGGAACUCCGACACUGUCUUAGCAACACCACCAGGAGGCAUUUCAGUGCAAGGGCGGUCGGGUUGGAAAUCCUGAACAUGCAGGUUCCUCAGAGGAUUUGCGCGCAGCCGUGCAGACACCUCUCUGCGACAUUCUGCUGAGAGGCGCACACACAAACGGCACGGCAUCCGGAAGGGCGAAGCAAGAUCCAGAAAGGCUUUUUGUUUUGUUGGCGUUGUUCCGCCUUUGGAAAGGAUUGCAGAGACUACGUGCAUGGACGAGGAGGAUUUGGCCGAAACUGAAUGAACGGUGCGAGGAGACAGAGGGCAGGUCUGCUGGAGCCAAAUCCUUCUGGAUGCAACUGGGAGUGGCCGUCAUGCCCUGGGGAAGGGGCGCUGCCUUUAGGUAAGAGCACUGAGUGUCCCUCUGUCGCCCACGGAGGGACGGUGAACACAUGGGCACAGGUGCGUGUGGCGGCUUGUGGGCGGUCUCUGGUCACAUCUAUUUUCUUAGUGAAACAGGAAGCAAGAGGAGGCAACCACCUUGGAGAGGAGAGUGAAUGGUGGCGGGCCAGAGAGGGGGACACGAGGCACGUGCGGGCCCUUGAGGCUGCGUUCAGAUCUGAUGGUUCAACGCUGCUUUCAAUUUCCCCCAGAAGACUGCCAAUAAAUUCCCUUCUUUUUAUAAAAUGAGCCAUAGCUGACAUCUGCUGCUGGCAACCAAAGACCUCUGAGGCUGCUGGGUUACCCCAUUUUCUCACUGAAAGUCCGACUUUAAUGAAAGAGGGGUCCUAUCUCAUCGAACCCCAUGCACCUGCAAGUGCACACGAAGAGCCGCUUGCAAGGGACCAACAUGCCAGCCAUGCUGGGUUCCUCUACCACCUACUGCACAGAGCCAAGAAUUAAGAAUGGAGCCUCGCAGCACCAAACUGGACACCCUGCCUGGAUCAGUGUGCUUAAAGAAAAGCAUUUCCAUGAGAAAGGAGAAAGAACGGAUCGCACAAUUCAAACUGCCUUACCAUUUCUUCAAACCCGCGCUUCAGUUAAACUGGCAAAACAUCUACUAAGACAGAAACAAGACCAAGACAUGCACCACUUUCCUCAGCGUGCAGGUUCCUCAUUCAUGACAGAUGUCAGUGACUCAGGAGGGAAGCCCUCGGGAAGAUGGCACUGAGGGGUCAAGGGCAAGCAGACAGCACCCUCCGCACGCUGGGUGAUACUCUUUCAUGGGCAUCGAGAGGCAGCCACCCCGGGCUAAGGAAGAAGACGAAUCAGGCUCUGUCGUGAAGAGAAACAUUUCGAAGAUCACAAAGAUGAGUGGAAAUUUCCAGACCGUGCAGACUGAGAUGCGUCUUCAUGAUAUAACGUGCUGUCCCCCUCCAGGAAAUUAAGAGUUAUUAAACUGCAGCAAAGAGAGCCGCUUCUGCGAUGAAAUCUGACACCGAGAAGCGGGAGGGUGGGGUGAGGACCGGCGACUUUCCCGUGGAAGUCAGCCCCACGUGGCUUGUUUUUUCCAACAGGUGCCCUGCGCCACGGGGCCUCAGAGCCAUGGAGAGCUCCGAAUCCUCACAGGGAGCCGUAAGGCUGCCUCUGAGGUGUGAGCUGAAAGGAGAGGUCAACGGCUGACCCUGCGCCGGCUCAUCCUUGGCUAGGAAGAGGUCGAUGGACGCUCAGCCUUCUGGGCCAAAUGCACACACAACUGUCCGGAAAACAAAAGCAGAGCAAAAAAAAAAAAAAAAAAAAAAAAAAAAAAAAAGAAACAAGAAAACAAACAAACAGAAAACACAUGCACACACACACAGAUCUCCCAAGUAGCUAAGAGCUGUGGGUGCUGUGUUUUCGGCCUUCAGACCUAAGGGUUCUGCUUGCCAGUAACAGAGUGUAAAGAAAGCGCCCGCGCACUGUAAGAAUGCAUUUCUCCAUCUUCCCCCCACCCCUUAAGGCACAGCACCAGCACCCUCCUUCUCCCACCCCCUGAUUUCUCCCCAGGAUUGGAAAACCCGACCUCGGGGGAAGGGACGCUACGUGCCAGACUCUCUGCCGAGAGCUUCGUGAAUGAAGUAGCUUAACCCUCACAACAACUCUGAGAGGGUAGGUCCUCCUGUUGUCUUAAGGUUUCCCAGAGAAGAGGCUGGGAGGAGGGCUUAGGUGACGCUACGCUACUAGGAGCUCUCGGGAGGAAGGAGGCAGAGGAGCCAGCUCCCGCCUGGUUCCAGCACCGAUACUUGCUCCAUCUUCUGGGACCAUCUUCCCAGAGGCACCUCAUGACGGCUAAUCAGGAUGCCCAGCUCCCAGCUCCCAUCGUUCAAAGGUUUCCCCUUGGAGAUUUUUUGAACCUCGGGUUUGGCUUCUGGGUUGUACAUGUGUGGACGCCCCUUUGCACCAGGCCUCCCUGGGGUGGGCCGUAAGAACAGGGGGCACACGCUAUGCGCAAGAAGCCACCGGCUACCAGGCUGCACCUGCAGGAAACAGGUGGGAGGCUACGCACCUGGUCCCCAGAGCAGUGGCUGAAAUACACACAGGAGAAGCCAAGAGAGUCUGAGGUGCUAAUCUAAGCGUUUCUGAUACGAUUAUUACAGCCCCUUCUUUGGAUCAGGAAACUCUGGCACAAAGACGUGAAAUAAUUCAUGCAAGGUUUCAGAAGAAACGAGCAAAACUAGGCACCAUCUGGCUCCAGAAGGUUCUCUGUUCACCUCUGUGCCCUGAAGCACCUGCGGAUGAACUGCAACUGCCCUGAAGUCGGCCAGCUGACUCAGUGCGGCGGCCGUGUUUGAGCCCCAGCAGUUGCGAAGUGGUUAGAAAACCGUCGGUGUAAAAAAGUAAGUAUCACACAGGAUAAGAUGCCCCAUGCAGGGCAAGGAGGAUGCAGCAGGAGACGGCUUUGGUGCUUGAAGCAGUGUGAGAGAAUCAGUUAGUCGCUGAGGCUCAGGCAAAGAAAGACACUGAAUGAAACCACCCCCGGAGCCAGCACACAGGAAAUCUAGCUCCAAAGAGCGAAACAAAUGAAAGAGAGACUAAAAAGACAAAGAGAAAAGACUGGUGCAACGAAGAGCUGGUUUUUAAAAAGAUAAACGGAUCAGAAACACCUUUAGGCACACUCACUCACCAAGAGAAAAGGAGGGAGGGCUGGAAAUCCGAAAUGAAUGAAUGAAUGACAGAAAGAAAGGAGGAAGGGAAAGGAAUUCGGCUCUGCUAAGGGUUGACAAAGAAGGAGCGAAGUCCUGUGCAGACCCUGAAAUCCACGGGGGGAGGGGGGAGCAGCCGCCCAGAAAGGAGGAGUGUUCUCGCCUUUGCUCCGCCCUGCAUUCGAAAGGGAACUCCAGGGGUGACCCCAGGGGUUCAGAAGAGGAAGUCUCAGAGGUGUAUCAAAACCCAGGAAGGUCACUGAAAAAAUUAACCUAAACAGAAGGGGAACAACUCACAACAAACACGAGACCCGUAUCAAAGGAACGCUGAGCCUGCGGAGUGUUAACAGCUUGACGCCCAGCAGUUCCCCUUUCAGAAUGGGCACUUCUGACGACGUGAAAGACGCAGUUCCUAGAAUUCAGGACUUUCGUUGAUUUUUUUUAAAAGCAAAAAAAAAAAAUUUAGGCUGAUGGUGUGUCCCUUCCUUAUCCUGACCCUGAACGCUGGCAGGCAGGCCACCGAAGAGAGAGGGUCCUGGUUCAACCAGCUGGGGAAGGUCCGGCAGGUAGGCUGAGGAAGGGCUGAGCUCUGAAUUCUUCAGCAUUUCCAUUAGUUUAAAGUGCUCACUUGCCUGUUCGCUUGAAAAUACGGGCUGGUCCUCUUUGCAGUGUCCCUUUAAAUAGAUUUUCCUCUGGCGCUGCCAAAAAUAGCUCUAGGAGGUCCUUUGAGACUCCCAUUCUUGUGCUCAAAAAAUACACUCUCCUCCCAGCCCCAGACAUAUACACAGCCUGGGAAGCAGCAUGCAUCCCUCACUUCUUCCAGGGACCUCCAAACUAUCAAAAAUCAUAAAUCGUUCAGGAGAAAAACAGAACUGAUCAGAGGAAUAAUUUUCCCAGGCCGUUCCUCCUUUGUUCGUUAUGGGGUCGCCAAGCAUCAAGUCUCUCAUUUAGGCUCGGCAGACAGGUAGGCCAAGGGCUGAAUGGCCAAAUGCCCACCCGCAGCCAGGGAGGUAGUGGGCAGCAAAGAACGGGGCCAGGCACAAGGCACAAGAGGGCCGGUUAGGAACGAGGCAGCUCGAGGAAGCUCUGCCCAGGGGGACAGGGUGUGGCCUUUACUCGGUUCCAGCCAACUGUCCGCAAGAUCUGAUUUUUUUUCUUCCCCAGUAAAGCGACCCCUGUUAAAAACAUUAGAAAGCUGCCCCAAUUUUAAAAACAGCAACGUGUGGGACAGCAAUACCAAAGAGGACACACGUGUGGGAUGCUCUGGCCAGAGGCCCUGGUUUGCGACGUCUGGGUAAGAAGCAAAGACAAAGGAAGACAGACCCCGGGAGCUCACGACCUCGUCAAACUGAGAGUGUACACGCCCUGGAAACUGUCCCACAAGGUGGAAGGUGACCCGCGUUAAACGAGAGGGAGCGCAAAGGCUACGGGGAGCUGAGGAAAGCGAGAAGGCAUUGGAGGCAGAAGGGAUUCUUGCAGAGGCAGUGGCGUCUGAGCUGAGGCUCCCGAAUGAGAAGGCUUUUGGCAGCAGAAGCUGGGGAGGGACCAUUCCAGGCAGGGGAGGAAAAAAAAAAAAAAAUAGACGGAGCAGGGAAGAGGAUGGUUGAGAGCUGGUCACGAGACUCUUCCUGUUUCUCCCCAACAAACGCUCCUGGGUGCUGUGCGCCCC